rnacentral:tRNA from 1 species
UUUGAAUUACUUUAAUGUAAAAAAUUUGCUUUAUUUGUUCUUCCUUAAUAGUUUUGUAAGGUUUCAAAA